rnacentral:rRNA from 1 species
UACAGAGGGGGCAAGCGUUAUUCGGAAUUAUUGGGCGUAAAGGGCGCGUAGGCGGCUUUGCAAGUGACAGGUGAAAUCCCUCGGCUUAACCGAGGAACUGCCUGUCAGACUGUGAGGCUUGAGACCGGGAGAGGUGAGUGGAAUUCCCAGUGUAGCGGUGAAAUGCGUAGAUAUUGGGAGGAACACCAGUGGCGAAGGCGGCUCACUGGACCGGAACUGACGCUGAGGCGCGAAAGCGUGGGGAGCAAACAGG